AGAGUUUGAUCCUGGCUCAGGAUGAACGCUAGCGGCAGGCUUAACACAUGCAAGUCGAGGGGCAGCGGGGAGGAAGCUUGCUUUCUCCGCCGGCGACCGGCGCACGGGUGAGUAACACGUAUGCAACCUGCCCCUGUCAGGGGGACAACCCGCCGAAAGGCGGGCUAAACCCGCGUACAUGCCACCGGGGCAUCCCGGAGGCAGGAAAGGCUUCGGCCGGACAGGGAUGGGCAUGCGGCGCACUAGGCAGUAGGCGGGGUAACGGCCCACCUAACCGACGAUGCGUAGGGGUUCUGAGAGGAAGGUCCCCCACACUGGUACUGAGACACGGACCAGACUCCUACGGGAGGCAGCAGUGAGGAAUAUUGGUCAAUGGUCGGGAGACUGAACCAGCCAAGCCGCGUGAGGGAGGAAGGUACAGAGUAUCGUAAACCUCUUUUGUCAGGGAACAAAGGCGGGGACGUGUCCCCGGAUGAGUGUACCUGAAGAAAAAGCAUCGGCUAACUCCGUGCCAGCAGCCGCGGUAAUACGGAGGAUGCGAGCGUUAUCCGGAUUUAUUGGGUUUAAAGGGUGCGCAGGCGGUCUGUUAAGUCAGCGGUCAAAGCCCGGGGCUCAACCCCGGCCCGCCGUUGAAACUGGCAGUCUCGAGUUGGAGAGAAGUAUGCGGAAUGCGCGGUGUAGCGGUGAAAUGCAUAGAUAUCGCGCAGAACUCCGAUUGCGAAGGCAGCAUGCCGGCUCCACACUGACGCUGAGGCACGAAAGCGUGGGUAUCGAACAGGAUUAGAUACCCUGGUAGUCCACGCAGUAAACGAUCGAUACUAGGUGUGCGGGGACUGACCCCCUGCGUGCCGCAGUUAACACAAUAAGUAUCGCACCUGGGGAGUACGAUCGCAAGGUUGAAACUCAAAGGAAUUGACGGGGGCCCGCACAAGCGGUGGAUUAUGUGGUUUAAUUCGAAGCAACGCGAAGAACCUUACCAGGGCUUGACAUGGGGAUGACCGGGCUAGAGAUAGUCUUUUCCCUUCGGGGACAUCCCACACAGGUGGUGCAUGGUUGUCGUCAGCUCGUGUCGUGAGAUGUUGGGUUAAGUCCCGCAACGAGCGCAACCCCUAUUGUUAGUUGCUACGCAAGAGCACUCUAGCGAGACUGCCGUUGACAAAACGGAGGAAGGUGGGGACGACGUCAAAUCAUCAUGCCCCUUAUGUCCUGGGCUACACACGUAAUACAAUGGCGGUAAACAGAGGGAUGCAAAUCCGCGAGGAGGAGCGAACCCCCAAAAGCCGUCCCAGUUCGGAUCGCAGGCUGCAACCCGCCUGCGUGAAGUCGGAAUCGCUAGUAAUCGCGGAUCAGCAUGCCGCGGUGAAUACGUUCCCGGGCCUUGUACUCACCGCCCGUCAAG
rnacentral:rRNA from 1 species